UACGUAGGGGGCAAGCGUUGUCCGGAUUUAUUGGGCGUAAAGAGCGUGUAGGCGGCCAUGUAGGUCCGGUGUGAAAACUCGAGGCUUAACCUCGAGGUGUCAUCGGAAACCAUUUGGCUAGAGUCCGGAAGAGGAGAGUGGAAUUCCUGGUGUAGCGGUGAAAUGCGCAGAUAUCAGGAAGAACACCAAUGGCGAAAGCAGCUCUCUGGGACGGUACUGACGCUGAGACGCGAAAGUGUGGGGAGCGAACAGG
rnacentral:rRNA from 1 species